CUCUGACUGAUGCUGCCCAAGUAUGAGUGUGUGUAACUGGGCAGGACUGGCCAGGCCCACACGGAGAGGUUGCUGAAAGCCUUGUUAAGGAAGUACUUCUGACUAGGCAAUCCAAUUACAUAAUGCUGCAAAAAUAACUCUGGGCUGGGAGUCUUGAGAGUGACGUAUUUUGUUAACAGAGAGGGGUAUCAAAUAUCUGUCUUUUAACCCGAGGGCUGAAAGUACACUUGUGCAUACUGAC
rnacentral:lncRNA from 1 species